GAUCCUAGCUUAGAACGAACGCUGGCGGCGCGCCUAAUACAUGCAAGUCGAACGAGAAUGUGUAGCAAUACACAUGUACAGUGGCGAACGGGUGAGGAAUACAUGGGUAACCUACCCUCGAGUGGGGGAAUAACUAGCCGAAAGGUUAGCUAAUACCGCGUACGCUUCCCGGACUGCGGUUCGGGAAGGAAAGCGAUACCGUGGGUAUCGCGCUCUUGGAUGGGCUCAUGCCCUAUCAGCUUGUUGGUGAGGUAACGGCUCACCAAGGCUUCGACGGGUAGCUGAUCUGAGAGGAUGAUCAGCCACACUGGCACUGCGACACGGGCCAGACUCCUACGGGAGGCAGCAGUAAGGAAUAUUGCGCAAUGGGCGAAAGCCUGACGCAGCCGACGCCGCGUGGGGGAUGAAGGUCUUCGGAUUGUAAACCCCUUUCGGGAGGGAAGAUGGGAUGGGGUAACCCAUUCGGACGGUACCUCCAGAAGCAGCCACGGCUAACUUCGUGCCAGCAGCCGC
rnacentral:rRNA from 1 species